ensembl:snoRNA Snora52 small nucleolar RNA SNORA52
UGGUCCAUCCUAAUACCUGCUGGUCAGCCAGUGAUCUGCCAGGCUUCGCUUGUGGACCAGAGCAUCCUAGAAACACUGCCAGAGUUGUGCAAGGCCUUUUCAUUUUAGGCUUGUGCCUGCAGCGCUUCUGGACACAC